ensembl:lncRNA
CUAAGCCUUAACUUGCAGAAUAAAUCUUGACACAUUUCUGAAUUUCUUUCUUGGAGGAAAAAAAAGAAAAGUUCCCAAACAUUUAAAUUUUAUUUUUCUGUAAUUACUGAGGAAAUCCUCAGCUCAAAUAAGGCAUCAGGAGAAUGAGAGCACCAUGGCAAUUACACUGGCAGACUCCAUCAGAAUGUAUUGAACUGGGCUUCCAGGUGAAGAACACAAACGGACCCCAUAAACACCAUUGCAGGAAACUGCACCAGCAAGUCAUGUGUCAGUAACAGCUAAGCCCUUCCAUACAAGUCAGGUCUCUUAGUCUGCAGAUCUUGUCAGGCAGUAACAUGUUUUUUGAUUUCUAUGUCUUUCGUCAUCUGUUUGAAAUCUAACCUGGUGGCUCUGCUGUGUCAGGUGAGCAGAUUCUCUGUGGUAUUGAGUUGUUAGGGUCUCAGGUUGAAAAUGUUUUAAAAACUGCAACUGGGAGUGUAGUAGUGACGUGGCUGAACACCAGCAGCCCGGACAUGAGUACCAAAUGCUGAUGAAUGCACAAGGGAUCCUCCUUCAGGUGUGGGCUGGCUGCAGCGGUGCUGGACACUUGGGAGUAUAGCCUCAGCCAUGUCCCUGAAACAGCGCUGGUGGUGGUGGUGGUAGCAUAUGGAGCCCUUGGGGGCGUGUUGUGCAGCUGAUGCAAAGACAUUUUUAUUCUGGUAUUAUUGCUACUGAGCAUUGAUUUGACCAGGGAGCAUUAGAUCAGGAAGGAUGCCACUGACUUGCAUUGCUAAAUGUGUCUCUAGAUGAUCUCACCCACGUGAACCUUAAAAAAACAAAACUGGCAUGCAGACAAGCCCAUAGGAAAAGCCAGCAUUUCCGUGCAUCAGAUCCUGCUUAUGCCACUCGUGUUUCUAUGGUGAAGACAGGUUAGCAAGCUGUUAAAAUAGCUGUUCACUUCAGAAAUGGUAAACAGAUGGAUUUCCACGGCCGGUCGUAGGUGAGUGGCAGCCUGGUGGCAGCUGCGGCUGUUUGUUUCCUUCACUUUUUGGAAGUUGGUUGCUGUUGGUGUCAUACCACCAAUCAUCUUCACGGUAAUGCUGGUAUUUCCUAAUGAUGUCUCACCUCAGUGUUUGUGAGUACCUGUUUACAAUGUCCCAGGGUCCUAGUUUGACUUUCUUUCUUUUUCUUUUGAAACAGCGUCAUAUAUUCUCAGGUUAAUUAAUUUUUAGUGCUGCUUGUAGCAAGUUUAAAAGCCGCUGCUCUUGGAAUGGCCAUCCCCUGCAAGCUUUAGGCAAGAACCUGACUAGCUUGUCCAUGUUGGGUUUUCUUUCUCUUGCUCAUGAUCAACUUCAUAGCAGUUUGGCCAACAUUUUUCAAGAUCCCAAAAUGUGGGGCAAAUGCUGUCCAUGGCAGCUUUUGAAAUUGCAUGGUGGCCAUUGUGGUGUGCUCUUCUUGGUGUGCCAUUCCCCAGGUGUUUCUUGUGAAAGUAGAGAGGCUCGUAAUAGCUUGUCGGGAAGAUAUAAAUUGACUCUUGAGAGGACACAUGCUUGUGUGUGCUGUGGGCUAAACAGGAAGCCAAGGUAGAAACAAAGCAUCCUGCCAAGAUGUCCAACACAUCCUUUGUUGAGGCAAGACAAUAUCUUGGUAGUAUUUACCUAGCACGGAGUCACAGGGACUUGGAGGCAUCAUCUGGAGUGCUUCUCUAUCCCAGGACAGGUUAAGCUGUGCCUGUCUGAAAGAUGGUUGUAGAAUCCACCCUUACUUCCACAGUGCCCAUAUACAUAAUUUUAAGAGAUAGAUAGGUAAAAAAAGAUUGCGUCUUCAGAAGAUACUAGAUCAAUAUGAUGUUUUUGUUAAUAUGGCAUUAAAAAUAACGAUUAGAUAAGAUCUGAGGUGAGAUUUUGUACAGAGUGCCAGCCCGGUGUGUUUGCUAGCCACGGGACUCCCACAUGCCUUCAAAAACCUCUUCUGAAUGGUUUGUCAGGUUGCCCGUUAAUAGCCAUACCAGAGAGGUUCAAAGCAACCUUUCUCCCAGCGCUGUGUUUUCUAUCCAGCCGUUGCCUUCAAUCUGUUUUUACGGAGUUUGGACAGUAAAAACAAAACGAAAACAAACCUGUCAGCUUUUUCCUCAGCACCCUUGUGUGGAUGCUACAAAUCAGUCCUUAAAGCCAUACUACUGCGAGGUGGAACCCAAACAAGGAAAACACCCAUCUCCCACAGCAGUGCUAGCGUUCAGCCGUGCUGUGAUGUUGGUGAAUGCCGGAACGUGCCCACAGCUUCGGGCCGUCCUCUCAUGUCCACCGCCAGGCCGAGCAGCGGGCAUUUUGCUGGGCCUUCAGUGGGGUCCCAGCAAACAGCCUUCUGUCCAGCCUUGAGUCCUACCCAGCCUCUCAAUGGGAUGCCCCUUCCACACCAGUACCCCAAGUGCCCAUGGCCGGUGGAUGAAGGCCGUGCCUGCAUGCGGCCUGCUUUCUGAUCUGCCCGGGCCUAGCUUCCCCGCUUUUCAUCCACACAGCCCAGAGCAGGAAAGCCAUCACAGCACCACAGCCUUCCGCAGCGCCUCGUCUGCUCUGUGCUGCCAGUGCUAUCACUGGCCCUACCAUCCCAAGGAGAAAGGGCAGCAAGAAGCAGGUCCUGCUGGAGGCAUGACGUGACCAUCAGGUGCUGCCCCUUGGCCACGCUGUGUACAGUGGGACAGAGCCAGGCACUGACAUCCUGGCCAAGAAGGAAGAAAGUCAGAGGCUGGGUGCUGCAUCCAAGGGCUACGUUAAGUGAAACCAUGGUAGGGUGCAGACCGGAGGACCACUAAAACUGAGCUCCUUGUUCACUUGCUCCAGGUUGUGUCUGGCCCUGAUACAGGCAUGCAUGUUGCGAGGAGUAUGUGUGGGUGCAGGACCCAAGGCUACUUGACUGCAGCAAAAGCCUUUGAAAAGAUCCAGUGUGGGUGCCCACAGGCCAUGGGCUGACAUUUGAAGGGCAAUAUUUCCACAGACACCUCGCUGCAGUAGCUGACAGCAUCAGCACAUUAGGAGGAAAUGAUGUGUGUAGAAGGAAUUGGCUGAUUUUCCCAGCCCUGGCAGGGACGGGACUGUGGUGCGCCGAGAAUCUUUGGCUCCCAGUUUCACAUGUGAACUAUUAAAUAUGGUGGGUGCCCAGUCAAGCUUUCUUAGAGUUGCAAAGUGUGCACCAUGUCAGCAGUCUUUGGCUUUCACUAUCAACGUAAUCCUCAGCGAUGCCUGGAGAGGUCUGUCUCUCUGGCUGCAAUAGCCUUGUAAUCCCUCAUCCUUCUAUGGGUUUCCUGACACUGCUCUGCAGCUCCGCCAGGGUAAGCAAACUGGGAUGCAGCAGGGUCAAAAGUGACAGCUAAGGCUGUUGAUGGCAGGAGAUCAACUUGGGCACUGCUAUUCACCUUUCUCCUCAGCAGUCAAAGAACCAGCAACAGCUAGUGAAGGUGAAGCUUCAGUUGGUAUUACACGCCAUGUAAGCAAUUCUCUUUCAAAAUCUGCCUGUUUUUUCCCUUUCCAGCGCAGCAGGGUGCUGCUUGCAUUUUCCCUGCUGCUGAGUGUGAGUCCCAUAGAGCUGAACAGAAGUUGCAGCACUGACAGCAAGCACCGACCCUGCAGUUGCUUGUUGAGGUACCAGAUCUCCCUUCCCUGAUGCUGACGCAACCAUCUGCCUUACGCCAAGCACAGAGGAAGGUCCGGCGGCAUGAAUAAGACACGGCGAUGGUCUGUGAUGAUGCGGGAACGGGGAGAAUCGAGUUUUCAGCAGGCCCCCUCAUAGUGGGUUUACCUGCGUAGGCAGAAGAGC